AUUGAACGCCGGCGGCAUGCUUUACACAUGCAAGUCGAACGGCAGCGCGGGGGCAACCCUGGCGGCGAGUGGCGAACGGGUGAGUAAUGCAUCGGAACGUAUCCUGUAAUGGGGGAUAACGUAGCGAAAGUUACGCUAAUACCGCAUACGCUCGAGAGAGGAAAGUGGGGGAUCGCAAGACCUUACGUUAUAGGAGCGGCCGAUGUCCGAUUAGCUAGUUGGUGGGGUAAAGGCCUACCAAGGCGACGAUCGGUAGCUGGUCUGAGAGGAUGAUCAGCCACACUGGGACUGAGACACGGCCCAGACUCCUACGGGAGGCAGCAGUGGGGAAUUUUGGACAAUGGGCGAAAGCCUGAUCCAGCCAUGCCGCGUGCGGGAAGAAGGCCU
rnacentral:rRNA from 1 species